CUCCAUCUUUAAAAAAAUUCACCUACCCUGCCCUUGCCAGUUGGCUCAGCUGGUGGGAGUGCCGUCCUGUACACCGAAAAGUGGUGGGUUCACUCCCUGGUCAGGGCACAGACCUAGGUUUUGUGUUCUGUCCCCAG